UGGAGGGCAAGUCUGGUGCCAGCAGCCGCGGGAAUUCCAGCUCCAAUAGCGUAUAUUAAAGUUGCUGCAGUUAAAAAGCUCGUAGUUGGAUCUUGGGAUCGAGCUGGCGUUCCGCCGCGAGGCGAGCUACCGCGUGUCCCAGCCCCUGCCUCCCGGCGCCUCCCCGAUGCUCUUGACUGAG